rnacentral:rRNA from 1 species
UACGGAGGAUGCAAGCGUUAUCCGGAAUGAUUGGGCGUAAAGCGUCCGCAGGUGGCUGUGUAAGUCUGCUGUCAAAGAGCAAAGCUCAACUUUGUAAAGGCAGUGGAAACUACACGGCUAGAGUGCGUUCGGGGCAGAGGGAAUUCCUGGUGUAGCGGUGAAAUGCGUAGAGAUCGGGAAGAACAUCGGUGGCGAAAGCGCUCUACUGGACCGCAACUGACACUCAGGGACGAAAGCUAGGGGAGCGAAUGGG